GGGGAUGUUUUGGAUUCGACCGGCAGUGUAAGUGGUCGGAUAGCGUGCCGAAUUCCUGUGUUCGUAAAACCAGGGAAAAAAAUUAAAUGCUGAAAAUAACAAUUUUGAGCUAGCUGCUGCAUAGCAGUCGCCAGACCUAUGACCUGCGAAUAGCAAUCUGGCGUGGUUUAGCAGGGACCCGCAUGUGGGAGUGUUUCGGACCACAAACGGAAUUAGAAGCUUGGUCAAAUCAUUGUCUGCCAAUUGACGGUGAUGAGACGACAAAUAAGAAUAGGCUACGCACGUAGAAGUCUUGCUAGGUGCCUGACGACACAGGGGUUCGACUCCCCUCAUCUCCACCA
rnacentral:tmRNA from 1 species